UCAUUUCAGCGGACUACAGCAGCGUCCGUCGGACCAUCAGCUCAGUCUCAUCACUCGAUGCAGUUUUGAGGAAUCAUAGCACCUACAUAGAUUUAUUGCUCUCCAAGUUAUGCACGUGACCAAAACAAUGACCUGUUGUUAUUUUUGGCACUCUUAUCUGCGCUGAAUCCCUAAAUAUUGUGAGCAUCAUCUCAGGGAACGGACUCUGGCGGAGCGCAGGACGGGAUGGGAUCGCAACAGCGCGUUUAGGAAACGGCAAUGGCAAGUUUAAACGUUCAUGGAAUGCGGAUGCUGGCUAAAAAACACGCAAAGGACGGCUUUAAAUGAAGUUUAAAAAGUAAUAAUCUGCAGUAAUUCAAUAAUCGGCUGUGAAUGAACUGCUCUGUCAGUGGCGGACUGUUAAUUCUUCACAUUAAGCAGCGCUGGCUCUUCGGGCACAAUGAAAUCCCUCUUCUACACGCGCUUUUUCAUCCUUCUUCCGUGGAUCUUGAUAGUGAUCAUCGUGAUCGACAUCGAUACGAAGAGGCUGUCUGUUCGGAACACGGCCAGCUUUUAUUUGUCUCGGCUGGGAAAUGCGCAGCAGCGGCAGGUCGUCAGGACGACUCGCACCAGCAGCAGCAGCACCAGCACCAGCAGCAGGAGUAACGCCACAUCUCUCCCGGUCAUUUAUGCCAUCACUCCUACUUACAGCCGAGCGGUGCAGAAAGCAGAGCUCACCCGCUUGGCAAAUACGUUCCGCCAGGUUCCGCAGUUCCACUGGAUCGUUGUAGAGGAUUCUAACUCCCACACGGAGCUGGUUUCUCGGUUUCUCGCCCGCUCUGGGCUGCGAUACACUCACCUGAACGUGUUCACCCCGCGCAGGUUCAAGCGGACAGGGAUGCCCCGAGCGACCGAGCAGAGGAACUUAGCGCUCGGCUGGCUGAGAGGACAUCUCUCGUUCAAAGAUAAAGGAGUCGUUUUCUUCGCGGAUGAUGAUAACACUUACAGCCUUGAGUUAUUUGAAGAGAUGCGGUCAACCAGGAGAGUGUCAGUGUGGCCAGUGGGACUUGUUGGAGGCCGGAGGUACGAGCGGCCCUUGGUGGAAAAGGGGAAAGUGGUCGGCUGGUACACUGGUUGGAAGGCGGACAGGCCGUUUGCAAUUGACAUGGCUGGCUUUGCAGUGAACCUUCAGGUGAUCCUGUCAAACCCACGUGCCCUGUUCAAGAGAAGAGGAGCCAAACCAGGGAUGCAAGAGUCUGAUUUCCUCAAACAGAUCACUAAGGUGGAGGACUUGGAGCCAAAGGCCAAGAACUGUACCCAGAAGCCAAAACAAGGUAUUGAAGAGGGGAGAUAGGAUCUAGAGGAGCAGGGUGACAGAGUGCCUUCUCUUAUUCCUGGAUCGCUCGAAGUGGGGUUUCACUCUGUACAAACUGAAAUCUGUCUAUCUGAGUAUUUAACAAGAGUCCUGGUCUGGCAUACCCGCACUGAGAAGGUCAACCUGGGUAACGAACCAAAGCGGCAACAAGACUCGGUCUAUAUAGAGGUCUAGCGAGCAACACUGCACUAAGACUGUCAUAUAACACUGGAUGAAGGCCCGCCAUCAUCAGCACUUUCCAAACUGAUGGCCACCUUUGAACUUUACCUGGAUACCUGCUCUGGUGGAAAGGAUAUGCCAAGUUGUCUUGGGAUUCUCUACUGACACACACUGUAUCUGCCGGAGCUUCUCACAGUGGCGUCACACUGGAUUACCUGUAACAUGGUAGAGUAGAAACCAUGAAACCAAGGGGUUUUCAAAUGGCAACUGUAUGUGAAAACUUGAUCUUAUUCCCAAUGCGGUAGUCAACUACCAUUUUCAGACUCUGGACACUCAGAGAAUCGGAUCAAUGUCUGUGAAUGGAGAAAAAAGGACCAGCUGCUUGAAUAAUGUACAAAGAGGUUGAGCGGUGCUGAAGAGAAUCGCCAAAUCCAUGAAAAUAAAAGGAACAGUGGAUGGAAAAACCCUGGAAAUACCGUCUAAAGUGUGAGACAUCAUUACAAGGACAAAACUUUUGGAUUACAACUGUCUUUAUUCCAAACGACCCUCUUUAAAAGCAAAAAAAAAAAAGAAAA